GGGAGCAAUGCAAAAAGAGUAAAUCUCCCAGAUCUACAUGUAACUACACUUUACAGCUUCUCCUCUCUCCUCUGCUUAUUUUGGUUUUUCUAAAUAUAGACAUCUGACAAGUCUCUCCGGACAUUGAUGUAUGGACUGUGAACUCCUGACCCAAUGAAAAGCAACAAGAGGGACUGUUGCCGCACAGCAUGGAGCAUGUCAGGGGUCACAAUGGCUCUGCUUCGUGACGGCUCAGCCCGUGAUUACGCAGACGCGCUUCCCACACGACGACAACGCCAAACCGUGGAGAGGCUCCGAGACGACGUCGGCGGCCCAGCUGUUUGUGUGACUUCCACUGAUCCGCUCCAUUCAGCUCAGUCAAUGGGAGCAGCGGCGGCGCCUGCAGAGGGGAGGGGAGGGGGGGGGGGGGGGGGGGGGUCAGCAGGCUGCAGUUGGGCGCAAAACAACGGCGUGUUCGCAGGAGGAGACGUCACGCUGCUGGGACGAUCUCCCCGUCGUUCGGCUCCAGUUCGCCACGACUCCGUGGUGCCGUUUUAUGUUUUGCUUUGCACUUGUAAAGUGAUGCGUACGCGCGAGCGCGUUGCGGUGUGUGCAACGGAGAGAGGGAGGGAGGCAGGGAGCGCGCGCCAUAGGCUAAAGUGUGCAGUAUCAUGCUGCAGCAGCGCCAGGUAGGCAGCAAACACGCUGCGCGCGCUGCGUCUCCGUGGAGCAGAGACAGACACAAGGCCUGAGUCCAGCAGCCAAAGAUUAAUGAAGACAAGGCAGCAGGCACGUAUUCUUUACUUCAUUUUGAUCACGGGCAGACUAAACAAAAUAACCUAAUAACAUGAGAUAAGGUAAUAACAUAGCAGCCUCUAAUACUAUUAUAAUAAUGAUAAAUAUGGCAAAGCAAAAAAAGUGUUUUGCCACGUGCAUGUCAGAGUAAAUAUGAACAAUACCCCUAAUAAUAAAAUAUUAAAUGCAUUCCUAAAGGCA
rnacentral:lncRNA from 1 species